ACAAGUUGACAAGAGCAUCGGGUGGAUGCCUUGGCGUCGGAAGGCGAUGAAAGACGUGGUAAGCUGCGAAAAGCCUCGGGGAGAAGCUAAACAUUCUGUGAUCCGGGGAUUUCUGAAUGGGGAAACCCGGCGGAGGUCAUGCUCCGUCGCGGGCACUUGAAUACAUAAAGUGUCCAGCGCCAACUCAGGGAAGUGAAACAUCUCAGUACCUGAAGGAAAAGAAAUCAAACGAGACUCCCAAAGUAGCGGCGAGCGAAAUGGGAUGAGCCCAAACCGGCUGGAUUCGUUCAGCCGGGGUUGUAGGGCCGGCAUAUGUGAUUCAUGAGUAGGCAGGGGAAAUGAGCUGGAAAGCUCUGCCAGAGCGGGUGACAGCCCCGUACCUGAAACCGAAAGCGACACAGCCGGUACCUGAGUACCGCGAGACACGUGGAACCUCGUGGGAAUCCGGGAGGACCAUCUUCCAAGGCUAAGUACUAACCGACGACCGAUAGUGUACCAGUACCGUGAGGGAAAGGUGAAAAGAACCUCUGUUAGAGGAGUGAAAUAGAAUCUGAAACCUGGUGCUUACAAGCUGUGAGAGCGGACUUGUUCCGUGAUCACGUGCCUUUUGCAUAAUGAGUCAGCGAGUUAAUCUGUACUGCGAGGUUAAGCGCAAGUGGAGCCGUAGGGAAACCGAGUCUGACAAGGGCGAUGAGUAGUGCGGAUUAGACCCGAAACCGGGUGAUCUAUCCAUGAGCAGGUUGAAGCAAGGGUAAAACCUUGUGGAGGACCGAACCAAUACCGGCUGAAAACGGUUUGGAUGACUUGUGGAUAGGGGUGAAAGGCCAAUCAAACCCGGUGAUAGCUGGUUCUCCCCGAAAUAUAUUGAGGUAUAGCCUCAUGGAUUGUCUACCGGAGGUAAAGCACUGACAGGGCUAGGGGUCCUACCAGAUUACCAAACCCUAUCAAACUCAGAAUGCCGGUCAGAUGUACCAUGGGAGUCAGACGGCGGGUGCUAAGGUCCGUCGUCGAGAGGGUAAGAGCCCAGAUCAACAGCUAAGGUCUCCAAAUCUAUGCUCAGUGGUUAAGGUGGUGACGUUGUAGAGACACCCAGGACGUUGGCUUAGAAGCAGCCAUCGUUUAAAGAAAGCGUAAUAGCUCACUGGUCUAAUGACGUUGCGCCGAAAAUGUAACGGGGCUAAGCAUAGUACCGAAGCUUUGAAUUCCGCGAAUGCGGUCUGGUAGGGGAGCGUUCUUCACGGGCUGAAGGUGUGUCGUAAGGCAUGCUGGACUGUGGAGAAGUGAUUAUGCUGACAUGAGUAACGAUAAAACGGGUGAAAAACCCGUUCGCCGUAAACCCAAGGUUUUCCGGGUAAAGGUAAUCUUCCCGGAGUUAGUCGGCCCCUAAGGCGAGGCUGAAAGGCGUAGCUGAUGGGAAACGUGUUAAUAUUCACGUACUUGUGUGUUCGCGCGAUGAAGGGACGCAGGAAGAUAGGCAAGCCGGGCGCUGGUUGUCCCGGUGCAAGCGUGUAGGGAUGAGAAGUUGGCAAAUCCGCUUCUCUUUAUCCUGAGACGCGAGUCCGUGACCGAAAGGUCUGAAGUUGUUGAGUCUAUGCUGCCUAGAAAAGCUUCUAAGUAUAGGACACGCAAACCGUACCGGAAACCAACUCAGGUGGGUGGGAUGAAUAAUCCAAGGCGCUCGAGAGAACUCUGGCCAAGGAACUCGGCAAAAUAACCCCGUACCUUCGGAAGAAGGGGUGCUUUUUAGGGUGAAGCGAUUCACUCUGUCGAGCCCUGAAAAGCCGCAGAGAAAUGGUGGUGGCGACUGUUUACUAAAAACAUAGGUCUGUGCCAAGUCGUAUAGACGACGUAUACGGACUGACGCCUGCCCGGUGCUGGAAGGUUAAAAGGAGGAGUCAGCGCAAGCGAAGCUCCGAAUUGAAGCCCCAGUAAACGGCGGCCGUAACUAUAACGGUCCUAAGGUAGCGAAAUUCCUUGUCGGGUAAGUUCCG
rnacentral:rRNA from 1 species